UACGUAGGGCGCAAGCGUUGUCCGGAAUUAUUGGGCGUAAAGAGCUCGUAGGCGGCUUGUCACGUCGAUUGUGAAAGCCCGAGGCUUAACCUCGGGUCUGCAGUCGAUACGGGCUAGCUAGAGUGUGGUAGGGGAGAUCGGAAUUCCUGGUGUAGCGGUGAAAUGCGCAGAUAUCAGGAGGAACACCGGGUGGCGAAGGCGGAUCUCUGGGCCAUUACUGACGCUGAGGAGCGAAAGCGUGGGGAGCGAACAGGAUUAGAUACCCCGUGUAUC
rnacentral:rRNA from 1 species